rnacentral:rRNA from 1 species
UCCGGUUGAUCCUGCCGGACCCGACUGCUAUUUGGGUGAGGAUAAGCCAUGCGAGUUGAAUGGGAUACCUAAAAUUCCCAUAGCAAACUGCUCAGUAACACAUGAUCAACUUACCCUAUAGAGAAAAAUAACCUCGGGAAACUGAGGAUAAUAUUUCAUAGCUGAAUUGGCUUGGAAAAGUUUUUCAGUAAAAGGGAUAAAAAAAAUGGUUUUUAUCUGCUAUAGGAUAGGAUCGUGGUCGAUUAUGGUUGUUGGUGAGGUAAUGGCUCACCAAGCCGAUAAUCGAUAGGGGCCGUGAGAGCGGGAGCCCCGAGAUGGGUACUGAGACAACGACCCAGGCCUUACGAGGCGCAGCAGGCGCGAAACCUCCGCAAUACACGAAAGUGUGACGGGGUUACCCAAAGUGUUCAAUUUUGAACUGUGGUAGGUGAGUAAUGUUCCCUACUAGAAAGGAGAGGGCAAGGCUGGUGCCAGCCGCCGCGGUAAAACCAGCUCUUCAAGUGGUCGGGAUAAUUAUUGGGCUUAAAGUGUCCGUAGCCGGUUUAGUAAGUUCCUGGUAAAAUCGGGUAGCUUAACUAUCUAUAUGCUAGGAAUACUGCUAUACUAGAGGGCGGGAGAGGUCUGAGGUACUACAGGGGUAGGGGUGAAAUCUUAUAAUCCUUGUAGGACCACCAGUGGCGAAGGCGUCAGACUGGAACGCGCCUGACGGUGAGGGACGAAAGCCAGGGGAGCGAACCGGAUUAGAUACCCGGGUAGUCCUGGCCGUAAACGAUGCAUACUAGGUGAUGGCACGGCCAUGAGCCGUGUCAGUGCCGUAGGGAAACCGUUAAGUGUGCCGCCUGGGAAGUACGGUCGCAAGGCUAAAACUUAAAGGAAUUGGCGGGGGAGCACCACAAGGGGUGAAGCCUGCGGUUCAAUUGGAUUCAACGCCGGG